rnacentral:ncRNA from 26 species
UGAUUUUGCCGUAGGGCGCGGCAAACGGAAAAUAAAGAAAGUUCAAAAGAA